rnacentral:tRNA from 1 species
UCCCUGGCAGUCCAGUGGUUAGGACCCUGCACUUUUACUGCAGAGAGUGCAGGUUCAAUCCCUGGUCAGGGAA